UACGUAGGUGGCAAGCGUUGUCCGGAUUUACUGGGCGUAAAGGGCGUGCAGGCGGUUUGUUAAGUCUAGGGGUGAAAGCUCCCGGCUCAACUGGGAGAGGUCCUUGGAUACUGGCAGACUUGAGGAGGGUAGAGGAGAGUGGAAUUCCCCGGUGUAGUGGUGAUAUGCGUAGAUAUCGGGAGGAACACCAGUGGCGAAGGCGGCUCUCCGGGACGGUACUGACGCUGAGACGCGAAAGCGUGGGGAGCGAACAGG
rnacentral:rRNA from 1 species